AGAGUGAACGCUGGCGGUAGGCCUAACACAUGCAAGUCGAACGGCAGCACAGUAGGAGCUUGCUCUUACGGGUGGCGAGUGGCGGACGGGGUGAGGAAUACAUCGGAAUCUACCUUUUGGUGGGGGAUAACGGUAGGGAAACUUACGCUAAUACCGCAUACGCCCUUCGGGGGAAAGCCGGGGACCAGCGAAUGACCUGGCGCUGAUAGAUGAGCCGAUGUCGGAUUAGCUAGUUGGUGAGGUAAUGGCUACACCAAGGCGACGAUCCGUAGCUGGUCUGAGAGGAUGGAUCAGCCACACGUGGAACUGGGACACGGUCCAGACUCCGUACGGGAGCAGCGAGUGGGGAAUAGUGGACAAGUGGGCGACGAAGCCUAGACGUCCGAGCCCAGUACCCGGCGGUA
rnacentral:rRNA from 1 species